rnacentral:rRNA from 1 species
GACAGAGGGUGCAAACGUGUUCGGAAUUACUGGGCGUAAAGCGCGUGUAGGCGGCUGCGCAAGUCGGAUGUGAAAUCCCAUGGCUCAACCAUGGAAGUGCACCCGAAACUGCGUAGCUAGAGUCUCGGAGAGGAAGGCGGAAUGCUUGGUGUAGAGGUGAAAUUCGUAGAUAUCAAGCGGAACACCGGUGGCGAAGGCGGCCUUCUGGACGAUGACUGACGCUGAGACGCGAAAGCGUGGGGAGCAAACAGG